UACGUAGGGGGCUAGCGUUGUCCGGAAUCAUUGGGCGUAAAGCGCGCGUAGGCGGCCCGGUAAGUCCGUUGUGAAAGUCAAAGGCUCAACCUUUGAAAGCCGAUGGAUACUGCCGGGCUAGAGUCCGGAAGAGGCGAGUGGAAUUCCUGGUGUAGCGGUGGAAUGCGCAGAUAUCAGGAGGAACACCCGUGGCGAAGGCGGCUCUCUGGGACGGUACUGACGCUGAGACGCGAAAGCGUGGGGAGCGAACAGG
rnacentral:rRNA from 1 species